rnacentral:rRNA from 1 species
CAGCAGCCGCGGGAAUACGUAGGUGGCAAGCGUUGUCCGGAAUUAUUGGGCGUAAAGGGCUCGCAGGCGGUUUCUUAAGUCUGAUGUGAAAGCCCCCGACUCAACCGGGGAGGGUCAUUGGAAACUGGGAAACUUGAGUGCAGAAGAGGAGAGUGGAAUUCCACGUGUAGCGGUGAAAUGCGUAGAGAUGUGGAGGAACACCAGUGGCGAAGGCGACUCUCUGGUCUGUAACUGACGCUGAGGAGCGAAAGCGUGGGGAGCGAACAGGAUUAGAUACCCCUGUAGUCCCUGUCUCUUAUAC